AGAGUUUGAUCCUGGCUCAGGACGAACGCUGGCGGCGCGCCUAACACAUGCAAGUCGAACGAGCGAGAGAGAGCUUGCUUUCUCGAGCGAGUGGCGAACGGGUGAGUAACGCGUGAGGAACCUGCCUCAAAGAGGGGGACAACAGUUGGAAACGACUGCUAAUACCGCAUAAGCCCACGGCUCGGCAUCGAGCAGAGGGAAAAGGAGCAAUCCGCUUUGAGAUGGCCUCGCGUCCGAUUAGCUAGUUGGUGAGGUAACGGCCCACCAAGGCGACGAUCGGUAGCCGGACUGAGAGGUUGAACGGCCACAUUGGGACUGAGACACGGCCCAGACUCCUACGGGAGGCAGCAGUGGGGAAUAUUGCACAAUGGGGGAAACCCUGAUGCAGCGACGCCGCGUGGAGGAAGAAGGUCUUCGGAUUGUAAACUCCUGUUGUUGAGGAAGAUAAUGACGGUACUCAACAAGGAAGUGACGGCUAACUACGUGCCAGCAGCCGCGGUAAAACGUAGGUCACAAGCGUUGUCCGGAAUUACUGGGUGUAAAGGGAGCGCAGGCGGGAAGACAAGUUGGAAGUGAAAUCUAUGGGCUCAACCCAUAAACUGCUUUCAAAACUGUUUUUCUUGAGUAGUGCAGAGGUAGGCGGAAUUCCCGGUGUAGCGGUGGAAUGCGUAGAUAUCGGGAGGAACACCAGUGGCGAAGGCGGCCUACUGGGCACCAACUGACGCUGAGGCUCGAAAGUGUGGGUAGCAAACAGGAUUAGAUACCCUGGUAGUCCACACCGUAAACGAUGAUUACUAGGUGUUGGAGGAUUGACCCCUUCAGUGCCGCAGUUAACACAAUAAGUAAUCCACCUGGGGAGUACGACCGCAAGGUUGAAACUCAAAGGAAUUGACGGGGGCCCGCACAAGCAGUGGAGUAUGUGGUUUAAUUCGACGCAACGCGAAGAACCUUACCAAGUCUUGACAUCCCUUGACAGGCAUAGAAAUAUGUUUUCUCUUCGGAGCAAGGAGACAGGUGGUGCAUGGUUGUCGUCAGCUCGUGUCGUGAGAUGUUGGGUUAAGUCCCGCAACGAGCGCAACC
rnacentral:rRNA from 1 species